rnacentral:rRNA from 1 species
CCUACGGGGGGCAGCAGUCGAGAAUCAUUCACAAUGGGGGAAACCCUGAUGGUGCGACGCCGCGUGGGGGAAUGAAGGUCUUCGGAUUGUAAACCCCUGUCAUGUGGGAGCAAAUUAAAAAGAUAGUACCACAAGAGGAAGAGACGGCUAACUCUGUGCCCGCAGCCGCGGUAAUACAGAGGUCUCAAGCGUUGUUCGGAAUCACUGGGCGUAAAGCGUGCGUAGGCUGUUUCGUAAGUCGUGUGUGAAAGGCGGGGGCUCAACCCGCGGACGGCACAUGAGACUGGGAGACUAGAGUAAUGGAGGGGGAACCGGAAGUCGCGGUGUAGCAGUGAAAUGCGGAGAUAUCGAGAGGAACACUCGUGGCGAAGGCGGGUGCCUGGACAUUAACUGACGCUGAGGCACGAAGGCCAGGGGAGCGAAAGGGAUUAGAUACCCCAGUAGUC